UCGCCGCUCGUGACUCGGCGAAAAGUCCAUUGAACCUUAUCAUUUAGAGGAAGGAGAAGUCGUAACAAGGUUUCCGUAGGUGAACCUGCGGAAGGAUCAUUG
rnacentral:rRNA from 2 species